rnacentral:rRNA from 1 species
UAGAGUUUGAUCCUGGCUCAGCGCGAACGCUGGCGGCGUGCCUAACACAUGCAAGUCGUGCGGAGGGGCGAUGAGCCCCUCAGCGGCAAACGGGUGAGUAACACGUGAGUAACCUGCCCCUGGGAAGGGGAUAACCCUCCGAAAGGGGGGCUAAUACCCUAUAUAGCCGGGGACCACUAAGGUCACCCGGUGAAAGGUGGCCUCUGCCCUUCACGGGUAUGCUACCGCCCAGGGAGGGGCUCGCGGCCCAUCAGGUAGUUGGUGGGGUAACGGCCUACCAAGCCUAUGACGGGUAGCCGGCCUGAGAGGGUGGCCGGCCACAGUGGGACUGAGACACGGCCCACACCCCUACGGGGGGCAGCAGUGGGGAAUCGUGGGCAAUGGGCGCAAGCCUGACCCCGCGACGCCGCGUGGGGGAUGAAGCCCUUCGGGGUGUAAACCCCUGUCGGGGGGGACGAUGUGUCCUGGGGUGAAUAAUCCCAGGGCAUGACGGUACCCCCAGAGGAAGGGACGGCUAACUACGUGCCAGCAGCCGCGGUAAUACGUAGGUCCCGAGCGUUGCGCGGAUUCACUGGGCGUAAAGCGUCCGCAGCCGGACGGGUAAGCGGUGCGUCAAAGCCCACCGCUCAACGGUGGAAGGGCGUACCGAACUGCCUGUCUUGAGGCACGCCCAGGCAGGCGGAAUUCCCGGUGUAGCGGUGAAAUGCGUAGAUAUCGGGAGGAACACCGAAGCGAAGGCAGCCUGCUGGGGCUGUCCUGACGGUCAGGGACGAAAGCUGGGGGAGCGAACCGGAUUAGAUACCCGGGUAGUCCCAGCCGUAAACCAUGGGCGCUAGGCGUCGUCCUCGUGGCGGUGCCGCAGCUAACGCGGUAAGCGCCCCGCCUGGGGAGUACGGGCGCAAGCCUGAAACUCAAAGAAUUGGCGGGGGGCCC